UACGUAGGGGGCAAGCGUUGUCCGGAAUCAUUGGGCGUAAAGCGCGUGUAGGCGGCCCGAUAAGUCCGCCGUGAAAGCCCAGGGCUCAACCCUGGGAUGCCGGUGGAAACUGUCGGGCUAGAGUCCGGAAGAGGCGAGUGGAAUUCCUGGUGUAGCGGUGAAAUGCGCAGAUAUCAGGAGGAACACCAAUGGCGAAGGCAGCUCGCUGGGACGGCACUGACGCUGAGACGCGAAAGCGUGGGGAGCAAACAGG
rnacentral:rRNA from 1 species